AAUACCAUAUGGCUGAGUUAUGGUGAUUUAUGGCUAAAAAGGUGGUUUGAUGAUUUUUUUGAGAUAUUACUUGUUUUUUAAUAGGUAGGUGAAAUUUUUAUUAGAUUUAGUGUUUAUUAGUAAUUAUUUGUGUUGAGGCUAUUAAAUUUUUGGUAAAAACUGGGAUUAGAUACCCCAUUAUUCUUAAGGUUAAAUUAAGUUGAUUGCCAGAGUACUACGAGUGGAUACUUAAAACUCAAAGAACUUGGCGGUGUUUUAAAUUUUUUAGGGGAACUUGUCUCGUAAUCGAUAAUCCACGUUGUAUCUGUCUUGGGCUUGUGGUCUGUUUGUAUACCGUUGUUUAGUUAACUUUUAAAGAAGAUUAUAGUUAGCGAUUUAGAUAGUUAGUCUAGAUAUCAGAUCAAGGUGCAGCUUAUGCUUAAGUGAGGAUGAGUUACGGUUAUAAUAUUUAUAUUUCGGAUAGUUUGUUGGAAUAUAAAUUUUAAGUAGGACUUAAAAGUAAGUUGGAUGUAAGUAUAUAGGGAGACAUACUGAAUUUUAUUUAAAAUGUGC
rnacentral:rRNA from 1 species